rnacentral:lncRNA from 1 species
CGUGAGAGGAUAAAGACAAGUGGUUACACAUUUGAAUUCAAAUCAAAUUUGAAUUCAAACUAAAACCAACUCAUCCCUAUCCACUUGGGUGUGAAAAGAGAAGGUGCGAGUUUGCUUUGUGCGUGGAAAGGUUUCAUGAGAAACUCUUUCUCGUGUGAGAUGUGGGGCGCUAAAGUGGAUAAUGUCAUGUAUGCGCAAGAGAUAAGUUAUC